CACUCCUGCGGGAGGCAGCAGUGGGGAAUUUUGGACAAUGGGGGCAACCCUGAUCCAGCAAUGCCGCGUGAGUGAAGAAGGCCUUCGGGUUGUAAAGCUCUUUUGUCAGGGAAGAAACGGUGGUGGCGAAUAACUACUACUAAUGACGGUACCUGAAGAAUAAGCACCGGCUAACUACGUGCCAGCAGCCGCGGUAAUACGUAGGGUGCAAGCGUUAAUCGGAAUUACUGGGCGUAAAGCGUGCGCAGGCGGUUGUGUAAGUCAGAUGUGAAAUCCCCGGGCUCAACCUGGGAAUUGCAUUUGAGACUGCACGGCUAGAGUGUGUCAGAGGGGGGUAGAAUUCCACGUGUAGCAGUGAAAGGCGUAGAUAUGUGGAGGAAUACCGAUGGCGAAGGCAGCCCCCUGGGAUAACACUGACGCUCAUGCACGAAAGCGUGGGGAGCAAACAGGAUUAGAUACCCUGGUAGUCCCAUGA
rnacentral:rRNA from 1 species